CCUACGGGCGGCAGCAGUCGAGAAUCAUUCACAAUGGGGGAAACCCUGAUGGUGCGACGCCGCGUGGGGGAAUGAAGGUCUUCGGAUUGUAAACCCCUGUCAUGUGGGAGCAAAUUAAAAAGAUAGUACCACACGAGGAAGAGACGGCUAACUCUGUGCCAGCAGCCGCGGUAAUACAGAGGUCUCAAGCGUUGUUCGGAAUCACUGGGCGUAAAGCGUGCGUAGGCUGUUUCGUACGUCGUGGGUGAAAGGCGCGGGCUCAACCCGCGGACGGCACAUGAUACUGCGAGACUAGAGUAAUGGAGGGGGAACCGGAAUUCUCGGUGUAGCAGUGAAAUGCGUAGAUAUCGAGAGGAACACUCGUGGCGAAGGCGGGUUCCUGGACAUUAACUGACGCUGAGGCACGAAGGCCAGGGGAGCGAAAGGGAUUAGAUACCCUGGUAGUC
rnacentral:rRNA from 1 species